AGCGCAUGCGUGAAGCUUUCCGCUGAGCCGCCAUUGAGGGGCAUUGACUCAGUGAGUGGAAGAGAUUUGUUUGAAACAGGCCGCAAUGGAGAGACCAGCGCCCAGGGAAGCGAGGGAACAGCAGGCUCCUUCCAGCAGCGCAUCGAGAUGCAAUUAUCUGUUGUGCCAAGACAAUGUCACAUUUCCGUGGUGCAACACCAAGUGUGACUAGCUGCUCCUACUAACAGCAGGCAAAUACAUGAAGGACCAAGACAAAGUAUCAUUUCCUUGGUGCAAAGCCAAGUGUGAGCAGCUGCUUCUCACAAACAGCAGGUAUGUUACCGCUGUCAGAAUGCAUCAUUUCCACAGGCAAAGAGCAGUUUGAGUCAGAGACACGUUGAACUCAAUUUCCAGAGAAAUGCAUUCAAGCCAACAGUCAAAUACAAGCAACGAAAUACAAGUAGUUUGUUUUCUCUCUUCCCAAUGCACACCUCCUCGGUUGCUAUAAUUUUCUUCAUUCGUAGCCUACUGACAUUUAUGACAUUUUUGAAAAGUCACAGACUGAAUCCUCAUCUGAUACGGACACCGAGGAACUGCAGUAAAUCUGCAUUUAGUAAGCAGGUUUUUAAAAUUACUGUCAAGGUGAAGAAAUAGUUCAUGCAGUUACACAGUUACUUUGCACAGUGUGAGUACAGAUAUGGAAGAAAACAUUCACAUUAUCAGUAACUGAUCAGGACUGUGUCUAUGUUUUGACAAAUUGAUGUCCCAGGCAUAGAGAGAACAAUUAAAUAAUGUGACUUCCAAAUGUGUGACAUAAAAUGGCUACUGAGAGCACAUAACAUAAACUGCACAUGUGUACACACGCACACGCACGCACACCAACCUACCGAGUGAUUUACAAUGUAUUCCAAAUACACACGUGCACCGUUCCAACACACAUUCCUCAACAUCUAAUAGCCAUGAAGACCAUGUACACUUCAAGCCUCAGCACAUGUAACACUAAAAAUGAUUUCUACUCUCAGAUUUCAGGUCAGAGAGCUAGCCUUCUAUGAAAGAGACAAACAGAACAAAAAGUGAGCUCAGUUCUCCAAUCUCCAUGCACUCCCUGUAGGAUUUAACUACAUGGUAAUGGCCAUGGUCAUAAAUUAAGUAUCAAUUGUUUGCGACAUCAUCAAAAAAAAUUGUGUGAAUUUUUUGACAUACUGAAUUCCCAUGAAGUAGUCCAAGUAGUAGAUUGAACAAGAGAUUCA